AUUUGGAUUUAUUUAUUUAUUUUUACUUAAUUCAAUACUUUUUCUGUUCUUUAACCUGACGGCUAAGCUGGUUGGUUGUGGGGUCUGGAAGUAGUAAGAUUGGAUGAGUAAGGGUGGGGUAGCACUGAUAAUUCAGGAAAUCUUUUUUAAAAGUGAUUUUGGUAGUUAAAUAUGGGAUAUUCCAAUUAUUUUUACAUAUUACUAUUUACAUUAAAAGACCAGAAUUUUAAAGUAUUUUAAAUGUAGAUUACUUAAAAUGCAUUUUGGAUUUUUGUUUAUACUUUCUAUGCUUGUACUUUUUAUUGAAGCAAUCCUGGCAUAACUCUGCGAACUUUUUACCUUCUGAAUAAAACGAGACUCCUGUGUUCCUAGUUGAAGACCCGGGGCUCCAGAUCUUGAUUGAUUGAAUCUGGCUGAGGUGUACUGUGGGUAUCUGGAGUUUUAACAGAUCCUGACUGAUUGAAUCUGGCUGAGGUAUACUGUGGGUAUCUGGAGUUUUAACAGAUCCUGACUGAUUGAAUCUGGCUGAGGGGUACUGUGGGUAUCUGGAGUUUUAACAGAUUCUGACUGAUUGAAUCGGGCUGAGGUGUACUGUGGGUAUCUGGAGUUUUAACAGAUGUUGAUUGAUUGAAUCCGGCUGAGAUGUACUGUGGGUAUCUGGAGUUUUAACAGAUGUUGAUUGAUUGAAUUGGGCUGAGGUAUACUCUGGGUAUCUGGAUUUUUAAACCUCCCCAGGAGAGUCUCACAGGCGGUCAAGGGUUGAGGACCCCAGAUGGAAGUGGACAGCUGCCCUCCCCCCUCACCAGUGUCCCCCUGCCACUUUCAAAUGAACUGUGGGUUAGAAUG